rnacentral:misc_RNA from 1 species
AGGAUGCCUAAGGUAGGACUGAUGACUGGGGUGAAGUCGUAACAAGGUAGCCGUACCGGAAGGUGUGGCUGGAUCACCUCCUUUUAGGGAGACCUAAUCCAUUUAGAAAUCGAGAACAAUGAAAAUUGUCAAUAGAAACUAAAGUGGACUAACCUAGGUCGUUCGAGAUUGGUAAAUAUCUUUCAAAGUAUUGUUCGGCUUCGUUCAAAACCAUAUAUAAAUGGAAAAAAGACAGCACCUAAUUGAAAAAGUUAGACUGCAGGAUGAAAUUCCAGCCAGAACCUUGAAAACUGCAUAAGAGAACGAGAAAAAGCAGGCAGACACAGACAUUUAGAUGGAUGUGAAAGCAAAAGAAAUUGUGGUCAAGCUAAUAAGGGCUAAUGGUGGAUACCUAGGCACCACAGAAGA